UACGUAGGGUGCAAGCGUUGUCCGGAAUUAUUGGGCGUAAAGAGCUCGUAGGCGGUUCGUCGCGUCGGCUGUGAAAUCCCGAGGCUCAACCUCGGGUCUGCAGUCGAUACGGGCGGACUGGAGUACUGCAGGGGAGACUGGAAUUCCUGGUGUAGCGGUGAAAUGCGCAGAUAUCAGGAGGAACACCGGUGGCGAAGGCGGUUCUCUGGGAAUAUCCUGACGCUGAGGAGCGAAAGUGUGGGGAGCGAACAGG
rnacentral:rRNA from 1 species